rnacentral:rRNA from 1 species
UGCGUAGGCGGAAUGAUAAGUCAGAGGUGAAAUCUCCCGGCUCAACCGGGAAACUGCCUUUGAUACUGCCAUUCUUGAGUACAGUUGAAGUGGGCGGAAUACGUCAUGUAGCGGUGAAAUGCAUAGAUAUGACGUAGAACACCGAUAGCGAAGGCAGCUCACUAAGCUGUAACUGACGCUCAGGCACGAAAGCGUGGGGAGCAAACAGGAUUAGAUACCCUGGUAGUCC